GAGAGGUUUCAGCCCCCAUCAGCCAAAUGCUCUUGAGCAGGCCUCAUCUGGAAAAUAAUGACUGUGUCUCAAAGGAUGACGAAGAGGAAUAAAUGAGCAAUGUGUUUCAAUGAGACAGUAUCGCCCUUUAUAGGAAUGACAUCAAGUGGAUGGGACCACACAGGAAAGCCACCUGAUGAAGAUGGGAGGGGUGUUGGAGGAGAAUGAGCGGCUCAUCUAGGUCUACUCCCCAGAACCAGGACAGUGGCCCAGAUUGGAUUUGCCUGAAGACCCCUCGGGGAGAAAAAAGCAAGCAAGUUCCUCCCCUCCUUCCAAACUUUACGUCUGCCUGAGCCCUGAGGGAUCUGACUCUAAUUUGAAGAACUCAGGAGAGACCUUCUAGCUUCGCUAUAAGCAUCUCUACCCAACCGCUACUAUGCCCCACCUCCGCAAAGUUCCUGGCUCCACUUUAAUGAAAGAAUGAUGGGGAAAGAGCAGCAUCUGCAGACCCAGGUCUGCAGGAGAAUCGGGUCCUCUCUGCUCUUGGAAAUGCUGCUUAGCUGCCCACACCAUUUGCAUUGCUUUUACUUUGGCCACCCCACCCACCGCCCUGCUGAGAAGCAACCACAGCACCUGUGAACCUGCAGCAAUCAAGAAUAGAACUCACCUGCUGGUCUCUGACUCCUCUUGGGCCACAAUCAGCACUUGGGGACCGUGGGGUGCUAUAAAUUAGGCAGCCUCCCUUGUACCAUUGUCUCAGCUAUUGCUGGACUCUGCUGCCUGUCUGCCCCCUGUUCCUCUAAACCACAUGUCUGCUGUCCUUGCAACAUCCUCUGGGCCUCCAGUGGCUUGACUGGACUCCUAGUUUGUUUCCUCUUGGGUCUAUCUGUUCCCACUGAGGCCUCCAAAUUCAGGAAUCCUCCCUCCACACUGCACUUUGGGCGAACUUGAGGGUGCGCUCAUAAUCAGAGGCACUGCCUGGCGGAGACAAGAGGUGAACAGAGAGCGUUAGCCCAGGACACUGAUCUGCAUGGCACAGAGAUAAACGUUACGAUAA
ensembl:lncRNA novel transcript